rnacentral:rRNA from 1 species
AUUGAACGCUGGCGGCAGGCUUAACACAUGCAAGUCGAGCGGGGUGAUGGUGCUUGCACUAUCACUUAGCGGCGGACGGGUGAGUAAUGCUUAGGAAUCUGCCUAUUAGUGGGGGACAACAUCUCGAAAGGGAUGCUAAUACCGCAUACGUCCUACGGGAGAAAGCAGGGGAUCACUUGUGACCUUGCGCUAAUAGAUGAGCCUAAGUCGGAUUAGCUAGUUGGUGGGGUAAAGGCCUACCAAGGGGACGAUCUGUAGCGGGUCUGAGAGGAUGAUCCGCCACACUGGGACUGAGACACGGCCCAGACUCCUACGGGAGGCAGCAGUGGGGAAUAUUGGGCAAUGGGGGGAACCCUGAUCCAGCCAUGCCGCGUGUGUGAAGAAGGCCUUAUGGUUGUAAAGCACUUUAAGCGAGGAGGAGGCUCUUUUGGUUAAUACCAAGAUGAGUGGACGUUACUCGCAGAAUAAGCACCGGCUAACUCUGUGCCAGCCGCCGCCGUAA